UCAGCAGUGAAGUUCCACAAGAACAUAAAGUAAAUACGAAGGGUUUAGGGUUUAGCCCUCCAAACCCCCGUUUCCAUCGCCAUGGCCGGCUUCCGGAGAACCUCCACACCGCGCCUUCUCUAUUCUUUCUAUUCCUCUACCCUCUCUCAUUCCAACCUCUCUUCGUCUCCCUCACCCGCCACCGCUCUCCUCCUUGGGAAUUUCCACCUCCGCCACUCUUCCAGUGCGGCUCGUGUGAAGGAGGAUAAGG
rnacentral:misc_RNA from 1 species